rnacentral:rRNA from 1 species
AUGCUGCCCAAGAUGCCGUCAGGCCGGUGGAUCUCGGCUUCCCUGCUGGUCAUUCUCCUGAGCCUGCACCCCAUCGCCGACGCCUUCUACCUCCCGGGCACCUUCAUGCACACCUACGAAGCCGGUGAAACGAUCGCGGCCAAGGUCAACUCGCUCACGUCCAUCGAGACCGAGCUGCCCUUCAGCUACUACAGCCUCCCCUACUGCAAGCCCCAGGAAGGUGUCAAGAAGAGCGCCGAGAACCUCGGCGAGGUCCUCAUGGGUGACCAGAUCGACAACUCGCCGUACCACUUCCACGUCAACGUCAACGAGUCGCUGUACCUUUGCACCACCGACCCGCUCACCAAGGAGCAGGCCGAGCUGUUGAAGAACCGGGCGCGGAAUCUGUACCAGGUCAACAUGAUCCUCGACAACCUGCCGGUCAUGAGGUUCACCGAGCAGAAUGGGAUGACGAUCCAGUGGACUGGGUACCCGGUCGGGUACAACCCCAUGGGGAGCAGCGAGGAUUAUAUCAUUAACCAUCUCAAGUUCAGGGUUUUGGUUCAUCCGUACCAGGCGCAAGGUGAUGUUGUGGUCACGAGUGAGGAUGGUGUUGCUAUGGUUGAGUCUGACCGCAAGAGCGGCUUCCAGAUCGUUGGUUUUGAGGUUGUUCCUUGCAGUGUCAAGCGUGAUCCUGCAGCCAUGGCCAAGCUCAAGAUGUAUGAGAAGGUUGAGUCUGUGAACUGCCCGUUGGAGCUCGAGAAAUCUCAGGUGAUCCAUGAGAAGGAGCAGAUUACAUUUACCUAUGAGGUUGAGUAUGUCAAGAGCAACAUCAAGUGGCCGUCAAGGUGGGAUGCCUACUUGAAGAUGGAUGGUGCUAAGGUGCACUGGUUCUCAAUCAUGAACUCCAUGAUGGUUGUCUUCUUCUUGGCCGGUAUUGUGUUUGUCAUAUUCUUGAGGACUGUCCGAAGGGAUCUGACACGUUAUGAGGAGAUGGACAAAGAAGCCCAAGCUCAGAUGAAUGAGGAGCUUUCAGGAUGGAAGCUUGUUGUUGGUGAUGUCUUCAGGGAGCCCUGCUGCUCAAAGCUGCUGUGUGUUAUGGUCGCUGAUGGUAUCCAGAUCACCGGCAUGGCAGUCGUUACAAUCGUGUUUGCUGCUCUGGGUUUUCUCUCACCUGCUUCCAGGGGAAUGCUCUUGACCGGAAUGAUCAUCCUCUACCUCUUCCUUGGAAUUAUUGCUGGAUAUGUUGGUGUCCGUCUCUGGAGGACCAUCAAACAAUCCACAGAAGGGUGGAAAUCUGUCGCUUGGCUGACCUCCUGCUUCUUCCCUGGCAUUGUUUUCAUCAUCUUGACGGUGCUGAACUCCAUCCUGUGGGGUAAGAAGAGCACUGGAGCUUUACCCAUUUCACUCUUCUUCACCCUCUUGGCCCUGUGGUUCUGCAUCUCCGUGCCACUCACUCUUAUUGGAGGCUUGCUAGGCACACGGGCUGCAAGCAUAGAAUUCCCUGUCCGUACCAACCAAAUCCCAAGAGAGAUCCCUGAGCGCAAGUUCCCUUCAUGGCUCCUUGUGCUCGGUGCAGGAACAUUGCCUUUCGGCACCCUUUUCAUUGAGCUCUUCUUCAUCCUUUCUAGCAUCUGGCUGGGGAGGUUCUACUAUGUAUUCGGCUUCCUGUUCAUCGUCCUCUUCCUGUUGGUCAUAGUCUGUGGUGAGGUUUCUUUGGUCCUGACCUACAUGCACCUCUGUGUUGAGGACUGGAAGUGGUGGUGGAAAGCCUUCUUUGCCUCUGGCUCCGUUGCGUUCUUCGUCUUCCUAUACUCCAUCAACUACCUGGUGUUCGACCUCAGGAGCCUGAGCGGGCCAGUCUCCGCGACACUCUACCUGGGCUACUCCUUGAUCAUGGCAUUUGCCAUCAUGCUGUCAACUGGCGCCAUCGGCUUCUUGCUCUCGUUCUACUUCGUCCACUACCUCUUCUCGUCCGUCAAGAUUGACUAG